rnacentral:rRNA from 1 species
AUUGAACGCUGGCGGCAUGCUUUACACAUGCAAGUCGAACGGUAACAGGCCGCAAGGUGCUGACGAGUGGCGAACGGGUGAGUAAUGCAUCGGAACGUGCCCAGUCGUGGGGGAUAACUAUCCGAAAGGAUAGCUAAUACCGCAUACGAUCUGCGGAUGAAAGCGGGGGACCUUCGGGCCUCGCGCGAUUGGAGCGGCCGAUGUCAGAUUAGGUAGUUGGUGGGGUAAAGGCUCACCAAGCCAACGAUCUGUAGCUGGUCUGAGAGGACGACCAGCAACACUGGGACUGAGACACGGCCCAGACUCCUACGGGAGGCAGCAGUGGGGAAUUUUGGACAAUGGGCGCAAGCCUGAUCCAGCAAUGCCGCGUGCAGGAAGAAGGCCUUCGGGUUGUAAACUGCUUUUGUACGGAACGAAACGGUCCUGGUUAAUACCCGGGGCUAAUGACGGUACCGUAAGAAUAAGCACCGGCUAACUACGUGCCAGCCGCCGCGGUAAAAC